GACGGAAGGUGCAAGCGUUGCUCGGAAUCACUGGGCGUAAAGGGUGCGUAGGCGGCCGUGCAAGUCUGGCGUGAAAGCCCCGGGCUCAGCCCGGGAAGUGCGCUCGAAACUGCGCGGCUCGAGUGCCGGAGGGGAGAGUGGAAUUCCUGGUGUAGCGGUGAAAUGCGUAGAUAUCUGGAGGAAUACCGGUGGCGAAGGCGGCAUCCUGGACCGACAUUGACGCUGAGGAGCGAAAGCCAGGGGAGCAAACAGGAUUAAGAUGAC
rnacentral:rRNA from 1 species